UACGGGGGGAGCAAGCGUUGUUCGGAUUUACUGGGCGUAAAGGGCGCGUAGGCGGCCUCUGCAAGUCGACUGUGAAAUCUCCGGGCUUAACCCGGAACGGUCAGCCGAUACUGCAGGGCUAGAGUGCAGAAGGGGCAACUGGAAUUCUCGGUGUAGCGGUGAAAUGCGUAGAUAUCGAGAGGAACACCUGAGGCGAAGGCGGGCUACUGGGCCGAUACUGACGCUGAUGCGCGAAAGCCAGGGGAGCGAACGGG
rnacentral:rRNA from 1 species